GGAACGCAGACCAGUAGUGGGCGUGGCGUCGCUGCUCCGCCCACCGCGUCCCCUGCGUGCGGCCGUGCCCUCCCCCCGCCAAGCAAGCCGGUGUCUCGAGACGCCCGCGCGCUGGUGCAGGCGCUCCCGUCCCUUCCACUUUCCCCUACUCCGCGAGUUGGUUUGUUCCUCCUCGUUCCCCUCACCCCCGGCUCCCCGCUGUGGUCGGGUCUGGCCCGACCCGGCGGCUGAACGGAGAACUCGCUCGUGCUCAGGGACUCGCUGCCCAUUGAAGCGCCGGCUCGAGAGGAGGGGGGAGAGUGGCUCCCCGGCCCGGGCAGCACCAUGAGGAUCCAUGGACUGUGCUACUUGGUGUGAGAGACUGGCAAAGUCAUCACAGCUCUUGGGACCCAGCUUGUGUUUCCAGAUGACACCAUCAUGAUCAGGAAUAAAUGGAGAGUUUUCAGAAUGGCAAAAGUGAACAGAGUAUCUGCCAAGCACGAGCUGCAGUUAUGGUCUAUGAUGAUACCAAUAAGAAAUGGGUACCAGCUGGUGGAUCGACUGGAUUCAGUAGAGUUCAUAUAUAUCACCACACAGGAAACAAUACAUUUAGAGUAGUGGGCAGGAAGAUUCAAGAUCAUCAGGUGGUAAUAAAUUGUGCCAUUCCAAAAGGAUUGAAGUAUAAUCAAGCUACACAGACCUUCCACCAGUGGCGUGAUGCUAGACAGGUGUAUGGUCUUAACUUUGGCAGUAAAGAAGAUGCCAAUGUCUUCGCAAGUGCCAUGAUGCAUGCCUUAGAAGUGUUGAAUUCACAGGAAACUGGUCCAACAUUGCCUCGACAGAAUUCACAACUCCCCCCCCAAGUGCAAAAUGGCCCAUCGCAUGAAGAGUUGGAAAUCCAGAGAAGACAGUUGCAAGAGCAGCAACGGCAGAAGGAGCUUGAACGGGAGAGACUGGAUCGUGAGAGAAUGGAACGGGAGAGGCUGGAGAGAGAGAGACUAGAAAGGGAAAGACUUGAGAGAGAGCGACUAGAACAGGAGCAGUUGGAGAGAGAGCGGCAAGAAAGGGAACGGCAGGAACGCCUUGAAAGGGAGAGACAGGAAAGGGAGAGGCAAGACCGAGAGAGACUUGAACGGGAAAGACAAGAAAGAGAACGGCAGGAACAAUUAGAAAGGGAACAACUGGAGUGGGAGAGAGAGAGAAGAAUUUCAAAUGCUGCUUCAUCUUUCGACAACUCCCUGUAUAGCACACCACUUCCUGAAUACUCCAGUUGCCAGCCUCCUUCAGCACCUCCUCCAUCAUAUGCAAAAGCAAUAUCAGCACCAGGGUCAGAUUCCACUCCGGAUUACGCUGUAGUGACUACUGCACCACCGACUUCCACUCCCCCUACACCGCCACUAAGGCAUUCCGCAUCACGUUUUGCUACAUCUUUAGGCUCCGCCUUCCACCCUGUUCUUCCCCAUUAUGCUACAGUUCCUCGUCCUCUGAACAAAAAUUCUCGACCACCUUCUCCUGUGAAUGCCCCAACUUCUUUACCUCCAAAUACAAAGUCCAUUGUCUGGUCUGCUCCCAGUUUUGCACCACUUCCCCCAUCUCCUCCAGUAAUGAUCAGCAGCCCACCAGGCAAAGCUACUGGUCCAAGACCUGUCCUGCCAAUUUCUGCUUCUAGUUCUGUGUCCCAAAUGCCCCAGUCUCCUACUCCUCCCAAUGGGCUUCCUGAGUCUGUAACUUACCCAGUUCCUUCACCUUCUACCUCAGGUCCAACGCCGCCACCACCUCCUCCGCCACCACUGCCUUCCUUUCCACCUAUCUCACUCUCUGGACCUCAAACUUCGCCUUCUCCUAGCUCCCCUAAUGCCUCAACUCCCUCAUCCAAGCCUAGUGUUCUCCCUUCUCCCUCUGCAGCUACCCCUGCCUCUGUUGAGAACUCUCUAAACUCUGUGCUGGGAGACUCCUCUGCUUCUGAGCCAGUCUUGCAGGCAGCCUCUCAGCUGAUUGAACCUCCGACUCAGCAGGGUGUCAUCCAAGGACCACCUGCACCUCCACCCCCACCUCCACUACCACCUGGCCCAGCCCAGUCUUCAGCAGCAAUCCCACCUCCCCCAGGUCCUCCACCACCACCUCCACUUCCACCCUCAGGGCCACCGCCACCGCCGCCUCUUCCUAGCCAAGUUCUUCCUCCUGUUCCUCCUCCACCUCCUGCCCCUCCUCUCCCUACCUCUGGAUUUUCUAUGGGAUCUAUGUCUGAAGACAGUCGCCCUUUAACUGGACUAGCAGCUGCACUCGCUGGAGCCAAACUUAGGAAAGUGUCACGGGUAAAUAGUGAAGAGUCCUCUAGUUCAAGUGGAGGAGCUUUAUCUAAAACAGACAGUGUUCGUGGAAAUGGACCACUUCCCUUGGGAGGCAGUGGAUUAAUGGAAGAAAUGAGCGCUCUGCUGGCCAGGAGGAGAAGAAUUGCUGAAAAGGGAUCAACAGAACCAGAGCAGAAAGAGGAUAAAACUGAAGAAUCAGAGCCUUCAACUUCCAAGCCUUCUUCAACAAGCACACCUGAACUAACAAGGAAACCUUGGGAAAGAACAAACACAGUGAAUGGAAGCAAGUCACCUGUUAUCUCCAGAAUAACUCAGCAAGGAGACUCAACAGGGAGACGGGAGUCUCCAUGGAAAACUCUGAUUGUUUCUGAAAACAGGUCCUAUGAUUCAUUAAACAGACCAAAAUCUACACCAUCUGGGCAAACCAGUGCCAAUGGAGUGCAGUCAGAAGGGCUAGACUAUGACAGAUUGAAGCAGGAUAUUUUAGAUGAAAUGAGAAAGGAAUUAACAAAAUUAAAGGAAGAACUCAUUGAUGGGUUUUUGGAUAGAGCAAUGAUGCUGAACCAUGUCUGUCUUUAAAAGUGGAUGGAUGGGUGCAGAAAUUGAGCAAGAUCCUCCUUGCAGAUGUUUACCAUCUCAUGAUGUUGCUUUCGUUUAGGAAAGCAAUCAGGCAAGAACUGAGCAAGUCAAAUACUGCAUAGAAAGACUAGGACUAAGCCAAUGUGACACUUUCACUUGGUAUAAAGUCGACUACAUUUUGUGAGCUGUUAGAAGAAAAUGGAGACAGACACUUGGAAGGAGGGGAAAACAACAUUCUGAAAACUUUCAGACACAUCACUCUGGUGAUAUGCUUUUUCCUUCCUAGUUUGCUGCUUUUUUCUGACCUUUACAGCAGGGUGGAAAAGAGUCUUAAAAGUUACUGUAAUGAUUAUGCAGAAAUUCCCACAUUUGUCAGACAAGAUCACAGUGCAUUGAGAUGUUCUCAUGUCAAGAUAAAACUGCACAUAUUUCAGAAUUCAUUGUUAACACAAAAAAGGAGAAAAGCUUGGGAAGGCUUUUCAGAGAGGUUUUCUUUAUUAAUGAAGGAUUUAGCAAGCUAUUCUGUUGUACUGCAAAUGUAUCUCAGGUUUGUCUUCCUAUCAUAUUUGAUAUUUCCAUUAAUAACUUCAAAGAGCAGACAUGUAAGUUCAGAUCACAAAAUAUGAAAUAAUUAGAAGUGUAUGCUUUAAAGGGCAAUAUCACCUAGAAAGCGAUGGCAUAUCAAGUUUUUGGAAUUUUAUGAUCGGAAGCCUCUCUAGUUAGCCUUCAUGCAAUUUUGUAAACAAAAAAGCAAGCAGUCCAGAGUUUAAAGAUGUAGAUGCCUUCCUAAAUCGUUACAAUGCUUUACCAAAUCUAAGACUUCUACAUAAUACAAACCAGUGGUCAAAUGUAAAUCAUUAGUAUGUUGUAGAUUUACAGUAGAUUUUCAGGCUUUUUUUUAUUUUUAUUUUUUAAGAUUUAUGCAUGUGGACAUUUUUGUAAGGUAACACAACACAAUCAGCUUUUUAAUUAAACAAAAAACAUUGCAUGUCAUAAAUAUUAAGUAGCCUUUUUCAUUUUUAAGGCUGAAUUAAUGCCAAGGAAAAAAGUUGGGGUGGGAGGAGGGGAAGGUGACAGUUUUGGUUUAAAAAUAUUUUUAUUAAUUUCUGCACUAUUUUUCCACAUAUUACAUGCAUGUGUAAUAAUGAGGAAAAUUGUGUGACUUUUAUCAGUAACCAUGUUAACAGAACCAGGUACUUAAUUCUUUUUGUAUCAUUUCUUGAGUUAUUUGUGUUUCCGAUUCAGUAAUGGUUCUAAAACUCCCAUCUCAUUUUUGUUUCAUUUCUUAACUUGAUCAAAAUCCAAGUCGAUUUAAAUUUAUCAGCUAUUACCAGUGAUGCACCUGUGGUAGUACAGGAUGCACAACAAUUACCUGCUCCUGUAUUCUCUGAGGCUGCUUUUUGACUCUCUGAGGAAACAAGGACAAGGGCUAUAAUGAAGCAUUAGAGCAUUAGGUCACAGCAGAAAAAGGGAAGCAGAAGAACAGUAGUGGGGCAGCAUUAGGUGAGCACUUUUCAGGGGAGAUGACACUUUCCCCUUUCCCAUGGUUUAAAAAUUUGUUAAAACACCUCAUAUAUGCAAAUCUUAGUUUAAACUAAUAAAAUUCAGUGGAGUAAAAAUCCUGCAAGGCAGAGCCGUAAUGCUUUGGAAAAUAUUGUGGAUCAAAUCUGCACUUUUUCCUUGCAUCUUGAAUUUUUCUGAGCUGUAAUAGUGCCAUAUUAUUUUGCUAUCUGCUGAUAGGAAAAAAAAAACCUAUGGUUUUGGAGGCAUUAUUCAUGUUACAGCUUACUUAGCUCCAUUCAUAGAAUAAAAGCUUUAAAUAGCAUAUGUUCCUAGGUGCUGGAAACCAAAGCAAAUCAACAGCACUUUCUGCUUCUGAAAGGCUUGAAUGAGGAUUUUUUCUCCAGUUUAAACAUGUUCCUGUUUCUAUAGAGACUCAAAUUGUAAAAUUGUUCUACAAUGGAAAUAUUACCUAAAUCAAUAUAUAAUUAUCUUUCCAAAAACUGAUCAUCUUUCUGCAUACAUUAGUGAAGGCAUUAAACAAAUUGCAGCAAGCAUGAAAUAAAAGGAGGCAUUUUCAUCUUUGAUAACUUUUGUUUUUGCAAACAUUUUAACAUUAAGGAAGUUUAAUCUUGUCAGAAAUCAUGUUUGAUUUUGUUUGUUAGGGAAGUUCAAGAGUAGCCUACUAGAAAUGUAAUGGGUAUAAGUGGUCCAAAGUAGUAAUAAACAAACUGUCAGAUUGUGGGGGAGAGAGGGAACCUGGUUUAUGCACUAAACGUUUGUGCCUUGGUCUAAAAUUAACAUGAUUUCUGUUUAAAAGAAAGAAGAGCAGAUGUCUUUUUUGUGCUGUUUCUACAUACAUACUUUACAUAAUCUCAUAUUGCUGAAUUGGUCCUUUCCAGAAAAUCUGAUUGAAUUAAAGCUUACUGUAAACA